UUCCAGGCAAACAAAUUAGCGCUGAGAGAGCCUACAUAUAUAUACAUAUAUAUAUAUGUAUAUUUAUAUAUAUAUACAUAUAUAUAUAUAUAUAUAUAUAUAUAUAUAUAUAUAUAUUAAAAAGAGCUCCACUCUAACUUCGUCUGUGAUGUGAAUUAAAAUGUCCUAUAACUGGGCAUCUUUCCGCAUGUGACUAAGUUUCAGCUAAACAGCAACCUGUUCGUUGGAACCUCAUCAGCAUUCAGGCUAUUUUUAGCAGCCAUUCUCCAUGUACAAGGAAGAAAGAAAAUCAAUUUAAUGUCCGUGAAAUCCUCGAACCUUCCUCCCAAACAGCGGGCAUCCUCAUCACAAAUGUGCUGAGUCGUCCACAAGACAGGAGGGUCACAGAGUACCGGAGAGGAACAUCAAGUUACUCACACAAUGCGCAGGUCUUCAUUUGGAGGAAAAAAAAAACCCACAGCCUUAUUUCCCCUCUUCUGCUGCUUUACUCGCGCAUCAACUCACCACUUGUUACAGGGAUGGAACAAUAUUCCAAACACGAAACAAACAGCCGUCGACAACAGGUUCAACCAGAAAACAGAGUUUCCUCAGCAGGAUGUGUAGAAGCUGGAGAGAAAAACACUUUAGUGCUGAAAGAAGCAAAAUUAAUUAAAGGUUACGGCGCGCUCGUGCCCGCAGUGGCACUCAUGCUUUGUUGCGCACAUCCAAGCGCACUCCAGAGCGUCUCUCAACUGUCUGCUGCUCACUCUGGGCUCAUUUGGGGGAAGAAAAGAGAGGAGGGAAAAAAAGAACACAUGUGUAGGUCCUCUUCGUGCGGGGGCCUCUGGGUUCACCAUGCGUGUCACGAACUGCUCGUAUUUUGAGGUUUCCACAGUUUAUGUCUCCACACACUUCAGACUCUACGCGGUGGGCGUUGCUCCUCCUGUCUUCUGUGUGUUUUUUUUCUCUUUUUCCAAGUGUCACGACUCAUCCGAGUUCUGGCCUGAGUCUCUGCCUACUCUUGGAAGCCUCCUCUCCGGCAGAGAACCAGCCGGGACUGUGGACUGGGACCAGUGACUGAGCCCCCCUCCCCUUCUCCAUCCACACACGCGCGACCCCUCCCACGCGGGGAGACCAGAGCUCCAGACCGGCUCAGCUGUUGGCGCUGUCCGCGGUGCUGAAGGUUGCUGCUGCCUCACUGUUCCGCUGCACAACAAGCGGCCAAGUUACUGCACAGUUGGAGCAGUCAGAGGAGCACGUCACCUGCAACAGGGAGGAAGUCAAUAAAGUGAUUGACAGAGAAAGAAAAAAAGGCUGCUACCAAUCUCCUGCUGUAGCACACCUUCACCUCAACACUGUUUUAGAAUCAUAGAAGCACCAGUAAUAGAUCAGACCUGCAAGUUCCAGCAACCACUGCCAGUAAGAUUUGAAUUGUUUUAUGGAGUCAUUUCUUGAUUGGACUAAACAAUAAAUCUGGAGUCAACACGAAGUGCGUAGUUUGUAUGAGUUUAUACCUGAGUUAGGCACGAUGGUAAAAGUCCCAGCAUGCAACAGAGCAACACACUGACAGACACCUUUACGGUUGUUUUACGUUCAAUUAUAGUGUCCUCCAUGUUUUUGUUGUUACAAAAUAGCAAACGUUAGAACAUGAGUGACGAAUGAGGCGAUGUGUCGGUCGACAGAGGACGGAAGAAGUGACACUGUAUGACAUCAACAACAACAAUAACAACAUCAACAAUUAUAAUAACAAUAAUACAUGACAUUUUUUGCCACUGCUUUCCUAUUAUAGUUUAUUUCAACUUGUUUUAAAUGCAAAUUGUGAUUUUAUUUUUUAAUAUAUUUCUAAUCUUCCCUUUCUUUUCUAUGUUUGAUUUUAUUUGUCAUUUUAAUUGUGCUCUGUUAUGCUUGUCUGAAUGGUUCCAAUGCUUUUAAUGCUUUAAUGUAAAGCACAUUGAGUUGCCCCAUGUAUGAAAUGGGCUAUACAAAUAAAGUCGCCUUGCCUUGCCUAAUAAUAAUAA